AUGCACGCUGGCGGCGUGCCUCAUACCUGCCAGUCGAGCGAACAGACGAGGAGCUUGCUCCUCUGACGUUAGCGGCGGACGGGUGAGUAACACGUGGAUAACCUACCUAUAAGACUGGGAUAACUUCGGGAAACCGGAGCUAAUACCGGAUAAUAUAUUGAACCGCAUGGUUCAAUAGUGAAAGACGGUUUUGCUGUCACUUAUAGAUGGAUCCGCGCCGCAUCAGCUAGUUGGUAAGGUAACGGCUUACCAAGGCGACGAUGCGUAGCCGACCUGAGAGGGUGAUCGGCCACACUGGAACUGAGACACGGUCCAGACUCCUACGGGAGGCAGCAGUAGGGAAUCUUCCGCAAUGGGCGAAAGCCUGACGGAGCAACGCCGCGUGAGUGAUGAAGGUCUUCGGAUCGUAAAACUCUGUUAUUAGGGAAGAACAAAUGUGUAAGUAACUAUGCACGUCUUGACGGUACCUAAUCAGAAAGCCACGGCUAACUACGUG
rnacentral:rRNA from 1 species